AGUGAACGCUGGCGGCAGGCCUAACACAUGCAAGUCGGACGGUAGCACAGAGGAGCUUGCUCCUCGGGUGACGAGUGGCGGACGGGUGAGUAAUGUCUGGGGAUCUGCCCGCUAUGGGGAUAACCACUGGAAACGGUGGCUACAACCGCAUAACGUCGCAAGACCAAAGAGGGGGACCUUCGGGCCUCUCACUAUCGGAUGAACCCAGAUGGGAUUAGCUAGUAGGCGGGGUAAUGGACCACCUAGGCGACGAUCCCUAGCUGGUCUGAGAGGAUGACCAGCCACACUGGAACUGAGACACGGUCCAGACUCCUACGGGAGGCAGCAGUGGGGAAUAUUGCACAAUGGGCGCAAGCCUGAUGCAGCCAUGCCGCGUGUAUGAAGAAGGCCUUCGGGUUGUAAAGUACUUUCAGCGGGGAGGAAGGCGAUAAGGUUAAUAACCUUGUCGAUUGACGUUACCCGCAGAAGAAGCACCGGCUAACUCCGUGCCAGCCGCCGCAGUAA
rnacentral:rRNA from 1 species